rnacentral:rRNA from 1 species
UACGGAGGAUCCGAGCGUUAUCCGGAUUUAUUGGGUUUAAAGGGUGCGUAGGCGGUUCAUUAAGUCAGGGGUGAAAGACGGCAGCUCAACUGUCGCAGUGCCUUUGAUACUGAUGAACUUGAAUGUACUUGAGGUAGGCGGAAUGUGACAAGUAGCGGUGAAAUGCAUAGAUAUGUCACAGAACACCAAUUGCGAAGGCAGCUUACUAAAGUAUGAUUGACGCUGAGGCACGAAAGCGUGGGGAUCAAACAGG